rnacentral:rRNA from 1 species
GAUUUAUUGGGUUUAAAGGGUCCGUAGGCGGAUCUGUAAGUCAGUGGUGAAAUCUCGCAGCUUAACUGUGAAACUGCCAUUGAUACUGCAGGUCUUGAGUGUUGUUGAAGUAGCUGGAAUAAGUAGUGUAGCGGUGAAAUGCAUAGAUAUUACUUAGAACACCAAUUGCGAAGGCAGGUUACUAAGCAACAACUGACGCUGAUGGACGAAAGCGUGGGGAGCGAACAGGAUUAGAUACCCUGGUAGUCCACGCCGUAAACGAUGCUAACUCGUUUUUGGGCUUUCGGGUUCAGAGACUAAGCGAAAGUGAUAAGUUAGCCACCUGGGGAGUACGUUCGCAAGAAUGAAACUCAAAGGAAUUGACGGGGGCCCGCACAAGCGGUGGAUUAUGUGGUUUAAUUCGAUGAUACGCGAGGAACCUUACCAAGGCUUAAAUGGGAAUUGACCGGUUUAGAAAUAGACCUUCCUUCGGGCAAUUUUCAAGGUGCUGCAUGGUUGUCGUCAGCUCGUGCCGUGAGGUGUUAGGUUAAGUCCUGCAACGAGCGCAACCCCUGUCACUAGUUGCCAUCAUUAAGUUGGGGACUCUAGUGAGACUGCCUACGCAAGUAGAGAGGAAGGUGGGGAUGACGUCAAAUCAUCACGGCCCUUACGCCUUGGGCCACACACGUAAUACAAUGGCCGGUACAGAGGGCAGCUACACAGCGAUGUGAUGCAAAUCUCGAAAGCCGGUCUCAGUUCGGAUUGGAGUCUGCAACUCGACUCUAUGAAGCUGGAAUCGCUAGUAAUCGCGCAUCAGCCAUGGCGCGGUGAAUACGUUCCCGGGCCUUGUACACACCGCCCGUCAAGCCAUGGAAGUCUGGGGUACCUGAAGUCGGUGACCGUAACAGGAG